GGUAAUACAGAGGGUGCGAGCGUUGUUCGGAAUCACUGGGCGUAAAGCGCGCGCAGGCGGGACUUGCAAGUCGGGAGUGAAAGGCCGGGGCUCAACCCCGGAACUGCCCUUGAAACUGCAGCGCUAGAAUCUUGGAGAGGCGAGUGGAAUUCCGAGUGUAGAGGUGAAAUUCGUAGAUAUUCGGAAGAACACCAGUGGCGAAGGCGACUCGCUGGACAAGUAUUGACGCUGAGGUGCGAAAGCGUGGGGAGCAA
rnacentral:rRNA from 1 species